rnacentral:lncRNA from 1 species
AUUUUGCUGAAGUCAAUACCACCCGGCAUACCACCAGCACCUGCUCCUGCACCACCAGCACCAGGCAUGCCUCCUCCCAUUCCGGCAGGCAUUCCUCCUCCCAUUCCGGCAGGCAUUCCUCCUCCCAUUCCGGCAGGCAUUCCUCCUCCCAUUCCGGCAGGCAUUCCUCCUCCCAUUCCGGCAGGCAUUCCUCCUCCCAUUCCGGCAGGCAUUCCUCCUCCCAUUCCGGCAGGGAAACCACCGGGCAUACCUCCCAUUCCUGCAGGGAAACCACCCGGCAUACCUCCCAUUCCUGCAGGGAAACCGCCCGGCAUACCUCCCAUUCCUGUAG